rnacentral:sRNA from 1 species
GCUGGGCGUGGUGGUGCACGCCUGUAAUCUCAGAUACUUGAGAGGCUGAAGCCGGAGAAUUGCUUGAACCCGGGAGGUGUAGGUGGCAGUGAGCUGAGAUUGCACCACUGCACUCCAGCCUGGGUGACAGAGCGAGACCCUGUCUCAG